rnacentral:rRNA from 1 species
UACGUAGGGGGCGAGCGUUGUCCGGAAUCAUUGGGCGUAAAGCGCGUGUAGGCGGCUCGUUAAGUCCGGUGUGAAACCUUGGGGCUCAACCCCAAGCCUGCACUGGAUACUGACGAGCUCGAGUCCGGGAGGGGAGAGCGGAAUUCCUAGUGUAGCGGUGAAAUGCGCAGAUAUUAGGAAGAACACCGGUGGCGAAGGCGGCUCUCUGGAACGGUACUGACGCUGAGGUGCGAAAGCGUGGGGAGCAAACAGG